rnacentral:rRNA from 1 species
CCUACGGGAGGCUGCAGUGGGGAAUAUUGGACAAUGGGGGCAACCCUGAUCCAGCCAUGCCGCGUGUGUGAACAAGGCCCUCGGGUUGUAAAACACGUUCAGUGAGGAAGAACGCCUUGUUGUGAAUACCCAUCAGUAAAGACAUCACUCACAGAAGAAGCACCGGCUAACUCCGUGCCAGCAGCCGCGGUAAUACGGAGGGUGCGAGCGUUAAUCGGAAUUACUGGGCGUAAAGCGCGCGUAGGUGGCUUGAUAAGCCGGUUGUGAAAGCCCCGGGCUCAACCUGGGAACGGCAUCCGGACCUGUCAAGCUAGAGUGCAGGAGAGGAAGGUAGAAUUCCCGGUGUAGCGGUGAAAUGCGUAGAGAUCUGGAGGAAUACCAGUGGCGAAGGCGGCCUUCUGGACUGACACUGACACUGAGGUGCGAAAGCGUGGGUAGCAAACAGGAUUAGAUACCCCUGUAGUC